GGCGACGAUCUGUAGCGGGUCUGAGAGGAUGAUCCGCCACACUGGGACUGAGACACGGCCCAGACUCCUACGGGAGGCAGCAGUGGGGAAUAUUGGACAAUGGGCGCAAGCCUGAUCCAGCCAUGCCGCGUGUGUGAAGAAGGCCUUUUGGUUGUAAAGCACUUUAAGCGAGGAGGAGGCUACUUGGAUUAAUACUCUAGGAUAGUGGACGUUACUCGCAGAAUAAGCACCGGCUAACUCUGUGCCAGCAGCCGCGGUAAUACAGAGGGUGCGAGCGUUAAUCGGAUUUACUGGGCGUAAAGCGUGCGUAGGCGGCUUCUUAAGUCGGAUGUGAAAUCCUGAGCUUAACUUAGGAAUUGCAUUCGAUACUGGGAAGCUAGAGUAUGGGAGAGGAUGGUAGAAUUCCAGGUGUAGCGGUGA
rnacentral:rRNA from 2 species